CUACUGGACGUAAAGCAACCAAUAAUCAACCGAUCAACUGUUAUUGUUAAAGUCAUAUGUUAUUUCAAAUGUAACAAACAUAUAAAAGUGACGAAAAAAUGGUUUCAUCAGUCUUAAUGCCAUUGUGAAGUCAUAAAAUUGAGAACGGAAAUGGUGAAUGUGUCUGAAAGAAGUCAACAACCCGACCAAAGGCAGAAAACAGCCAAAGGUCCAAAUAGGUCUUAGAUCCAGCGAAAAAAAUCCGGCCCUGGAAGCGCUUCAAUCCC
rnacentral:lncRNA from 1 species